GAUGAACGCUGGCUACAGGCUUAACACAUGCAAGUCGAGGGGAAACGACGGGGAAGCUUGCUUCCCCGGGCGUCGACCGGCGCACGGGUGAGUAACGCGUAUCCAACCUGCCUCUGACUGAGGGAUAACCCGUCGAAAGUCGGCCUAAUACCUCAUGGCAUCGUCUGCGGGCAUCCAACGACGAUUAAAGAUUUCAUCGGUCAGGGAUGGGGAUGCGUCUGAUUAGCUUGUUGGCGGGGUAACGGCCCACCAAGGCUACGAUCAGUAGGGGUUCUGAGAGGAAGGUCCCCCACAUUGGAACUGAGACACGGUCCAAACUCCUACGGGAGGCAGCAGUGAGGAAUAUUGGUCAAUGGGCGAGAGCCUGAACCAGCCAAGUAGCGUGCAGGAUGACGGCCCUAUGGGUUGUAAACUGCUUUUAUGCGGGGAUAAAGUGAGGGACGUGUCCUUCAUUGCAGGUACCGCAUGAAUAAGGACCGGCUAAUUCCGUGCCAGCAGCCGCGGUAAUACGGAAGGUCCUGGCGUUAUCCGGAUUUAUUGGGUUUAAAGGGAGCGUAGGCCGUGGAUUAAGCGUGUUGUGAAAUGCAGGUGCUCAACGUCUGCACUGCAGCGCGAACUGGUCCACUUGAGUGUGCGCAACGCACGCGGAAUUCGUCGUGUAGCGGUGAAAUGCUUAGAUAUGACGAAGAACUCCGAUUGCGAAGGCAGCUUGCGGGAGCACAACUGACGCUGAAGCUCGAAAGUGCGGGUAUCGAACAGG
rnacentral:rRNA from 1 species